rnacentral:rRNA from 1 species
UAGUCAUAUGCUUGUCUCAAAGAUUAAGCCGAGUUGAAGCAGUGGGGUGGUGGCGGGUCGACUUAUGUCUGCGGCUCAUUAAAUCAGUUACGGUUCCUCGGAUAUUCUUUUUACAUGGAUAACUGUGGUAAUUCUAGAGCUAAUACAUGAACAAGUGUUCCAACCUCAGCUUGCUGACGGAAGGAUCGCAUUUAUUAGUACAAGACCAAUGAUUCUUAUUCACCUAGAACCCUGUUCAGUGAUUUCGGUCGCUGUCUAAGGACUAGCAGUGGGGAUCUUAGCAACUUCGGUUGCAUUUCUUGUGAUGACUCUGAAUAACUGAGCAAAUCGUAUGGCCUCUGAGCCGACGAUGUAUCCCUCAAGCAACUGCCUUAUCAACUGUCGAUGGUAGGUUAUGCGCCUACCAUGGUUGUAACGGGUAACGGGGAAUUAGGGUUCGAUUCCGGAGAGGGAGCCUGAGAAACGGCUACCACAUCUAAGGAAGGCAGCAGGCGCGCAAAUUACACAAUCCCAGUACGGGGAUGUAGUGACGAAAAAUAACAAUACGGGACUCUAUUGAGGCCCCGUAAUUGGAAUGAGUACAAUUUAAAUCCUUUAACGAGGAUCUAUUGGAGGGCAAGUCUGGUGCCAGCAGCCGCGGUAAUUCCAGCUCCAAUAGCGUAUAUUA